UAAAUCAUAUCAUAAUCUAACAUCAUUUCCACCACCAAGCCCGUAUUGUUUUAUUUGUGCUGUCUACAUUAACUGACGUGCACUGAGAAUUAAACAUCACCACAUAAAAUAUGUAUCUUAAUCAUCAAGAGUGUUCAUACACGCCCCCUUCCCUAUUUAGCGUUAAUAAAUAAAUAAUUUAUGCUCGAAUCCUCACGGCGAGCUAUUGCGCAUGCGCGACUUUGGGGAAGGAGAGAAGGGAGAGGACUCUCGCCAUAUUUGCGAUCAACAAGUGGUGCUCCAUAAGCGGUCCAAAAAAUCUUCUCAUCCAACCGGCAUCCGAACAUCUUUAGAUGUCAGAUUGAGGACGCAGCUUCCCAGAAUCACGGACACCAGUUCGGCAGGCAUUUUUACCUCAUUCGUUCUAUUUAACGAGCUCUUAAAUAAGAUCAUGUAGGUGCCAUGUCGUUAUGAUGCGGGCGUAAAAAUAAUCUCAUCAUGGUGCAACACCCUGAGGAAGCGUGUGACUGCCAUACCCUCACGUGCGCCAACUUAACACUAUCUCAAACUGUUUCCAGCCAGACGUACAGUGGACUGUAUCUACGUCCUCUGUCACAGCUGAGACAUAAUCAGUUUUCAUUGUAGAUAGUAGUUUAUUAUUUAAGAGACCAUAUCCAUAUAUAUAUACCUACAUAUCUGAUACUGCCAGUUAUGCAUUAUUAAUCUUCAUAUGGCAGUAGUAUUUUGCAUUAUAUAUUUUACUCAUUAUUUAUGUGUGUGCAUAUUAUAAUUAUUAUUAUUGCAUAAUAUAUGUUCCACAUAGAUUAAUCUUAUAGAAUACCCCCCCCAAAUUGUGUCAUGGGAGGCUGGCUCUAGAAUUAUAUAAUUUAGUCAUUGCUUAAUUAAUGGAAUUUAUUCAUAUAAUCAUAGAUCUAUAAGCCACUGAUUUCUCAUUUAAUUACUCAUUCUGGUCCUUCGAGCUAUCUUAGAAUUUAUCAUUAUUUUACAUUCACAUAAUUAUACAUUUUAUCAGUAUUAUACUGGAGCCAGAUUUCCCCACACCUGGCCUGAUGUUCCGGUUUGCAUGAUUGUAAACUUUGAGACAUGGUGCCUGGCCUGAUGUUAACUCUUACACUUGUAGAAAUAUCUGUCAACCUAAUGAUCGUUUGUUAUAAAGGCAUUACACAAUCAGCUAAUAUUAUCUCUUUGUGCAGACAUUCGCUUAUCCCAGGCCACAUGCCUAUGUACCUAACAGUGAGGCAGGUCUACGAUAUAGAACAAACAACUAGUCAACAGGAAAACAUGUGUGUGCCUAAUGGAUGAUUCCAGAUAGCCACACAAAAUUGUUACAUUAAGCUAGGGAACAUUUUCAUGUGUGGAAAAGUGUGGAGCGUGAUUAAGCUGGCUGUAAAAUGGCCAGUAAAGUUUGAUAAUGCAAGGGGCUUGCGCGUAUUGGGGCACAAGACGGCGCCGAGCUAUCCUGUUUACCGCGAGGACGAUGGAGGAACCUGUGGGUGUGGGAACUGAUCGUCAGGAGACCAGACGCCAGGACCAGGAACCUCAACAUCCCUCAACAGAGGACGAGUCGGCUUCGUGGUUGGAAUGAAGUAAGGUAGAUAAUUGUCCCUCCCUUUAACCCUUUGAUCUAGGUGAGCUAGGGUAUUUUAUAUAUUGUGAACAUUUCUACUUACCAUUUUAUUGUCUAAGUGACAGAGUGUUAGGCUAGGAGCCAAGAGCUCAUGUAGGCUUGUUGGUGCGUGUGAGGAUUAAUAUGUUGAUGCGAUAAUGUUAGUGAUCCUGGAGGUAGUAAUUGGUUUGCAAGGAGCCUGCAAUGAACUUUGAAACACCCAGCUGAACGCGUUGAAGGAAGCCGGGAGAGCCCGGCUGGUUUUGACAGUUGGAACCGUCAGCUGAUCGUGUUGCCAGAGGCGCGAGGUGUGUCCCGCCGUCUGACGGUUGGAUCCGGUCAGCUGACCGUGUUGCCAGAGACGUGUCAUGAGGAGUCUUGCCGACAGCGGACGAUAUCCACUUAGACAUUUCUUUAUGCCAUUUAUAUGUAUGUAUAUACCUUCAGUAAACUUUAAACUAAUGAGUUUAAGUGAGCCUCCAUUCUCUAGGGUUAUAUAUAUAUAAGUGAGACCGUUAAUGACACCUAGUACUGCACGAGACAUUGCAUCCUUAAUUAAGAUAACCAAUGAGACCACUGACGUGUUGCUAGGACACGAGUAUAAACACGCAGCUGGCGACCUGAGCAGACCAGAUAUUAAAGAUAGAACCUCCCAGUGUCAGUAUUGCUCUCAGGUUGAACCUCCCAGUGUCAGUAUUGCUCUCAAGUUGAACCUCCCAGUGUCAGUAAUUGCUCUCAAGUUGAACCUCCCAGUGUCAGUAAUUGCUCUCAAGUUGAACCUCCCAGUGUCAGUAAUUGCUCUCAAGUUGAACCUCCC
rnacentral:lncRNA from 1 species